GCUCAGGAUGAACGCUAGCGGCAGGCUUAACACAUGCAAGUCGAGGGGUAACAUUGUGCUUGCACAGAUGACGACCGGCGCACGGGUGCGUAACGCGUAUAGAACCUCCUUUUACAGAGGAAUAGGCUUUAGAAAUGAAGAUUAAUGCCUCAUAGUAUUAACGAAUCGCAUGAUUUGUUACUUAAAGAUUUAUCGGUAAAAGAUGGCUAUGCGUCCUAUUAGUUAGUUGGUAAGGUAACGGCUUACCAAGACGGCGAUAGGUAGGGGUCCUGAGAGGGAGAUCCCCCACGCUGGUACUGAGACACGGACCAGACUCCUACGGGAGGCAGCAGUGAGGAAUAUUGGGCAAUGGAGGAGACUCUGACCCAGCCAUGCCGCGUGUAGGAAGAAUGCCCUAUGGGUUGUAAACUACUUUUAUACAGGAAGAAACACUGGUAUGUAUACCAGCUUGACGGUACUGUAAGAAUAAGGACCGGCUAACUCCGUGCCAGCAGCCGCGGUAAUACGGAGGGUCCGAGCGUUAUCCGGAAUCAUUGGGUUUAAAGGGUCCGCAGGCGGUCAAUUAAGUCAGAGGUGAAAUACCGUCGCUCAACGACGGAACUGCCUUUGAUACUGGUUGACUUGAGUCAUAUGGAAGUAGAUAGAAUGUGUAGUGUAGCGGUGAAAUGCAUAGAUAUUACACAGAAUACCGAUUGCGAAGGCAGUCUACUACGUAUGUACUGACGCUCAUGGACGAAAGCGUGGGGAGCGAACAGGAUUAGAUACCCUGGUAGUCCACGCCGUAAACGAUGGAUACUAGUUGUUGGGCAUUAGCUCAGUGACUAAGCGAAAGUGAUAAGUAUCCCACCUGGGGAGUACGGUCGCAAGACUGAAACUCAAAGGAAUUGACGGGGGCCCGCACAAGCGGUGGAGCAUGUGGUUUAAUUCGAUGAUACGCGAGGAACCUUACCAGGGCUUAAAUGUAGUCUGACAGCUUUAGAGAUAGAGUUUUCUUCGGACAGAUUACAAGGUGCUGCAUGGUUGUCGUCAGCUCGUGCCGUGAGGUGUCAGGUUAAGUCCUAUAACGAGCGCAACCCUUGUCGUUAGUUGCCAGCAUGUAAUGAUGGGGACUCUAACGAGACUGCCUACGC
rnacentral:rRNA from 1 species